CGGAGGAAGGUGGGGACGAUGUCAAGUCAUCAUGGCCCUUACGGGAUGGGCUACACACGUGCUACAAUGGCAGGUACAGAGGGAAGCGAGACAGUGAUGUGGAGCGGAGCCCUUAAAGCCUGUCGUAGUCCGGAUUGGAGUCUGCAACUCGACUCCAUGAAGUCGGAAUCGCUAGUAAUCGCAGGUCAGCAUACUGCGGUGAAUACGUUCCCGGGCCUUGUACACACCGCCCGUCACACCAUG
rnacentral:rRNA from 1 species